rnacentral:rRNA from 1 species
CCUACGGGUGGCAGCAGUGGGGAAUAUUGGGCAAUGGGCGCAAGCCUGACCCAGCAACGCCGCGUGAAGGAAGAAGGCUUUCGGGUUGUAAACUUCUUUUAUGAGGGACGAGCAGAUGACGGUACCCCUUGAAUAAGCCACGGCUAACUACGUGCCAGCAGCCGCGGUAAUACGUAGGUGGCAAGCGUUGUCCGGAUUUAUUGGGUGUAAAGGGCGUGCAGCCGGGAAGACAAGUCAGAUGUGAAAUCUCACGGCUCAACCGCGGAACUGCAUUUGAAACUGUUUUUCUUGAGUACCGGAGAGGUCAUCGGAAUUCCGUGUGUAGCGGUGAAAUGCGUAGAUAUAAGGAAGAACACCAGUGGCGAAGGCGGAUGGCUGGACGGCAACUGACGGUGAGGCGCGAAAGCGUGGGGAGCAAACAGGAUUAGAUACCCUAGUAGUC